UACGUAGGGUGCAAGCGUUGUCCGGAAUUAUUGGGCGUAAAGAGCUCGUAGGCGGUUUGUCGCGUCUGCUGUGAAAACGCGAGGCUCAACCUCGCGCCUGCAGUGGGUACGGGCAGACUAGAGUGCGGUAGGGGAGAUUGGAAUUCCUGGUGUAGCGGUGGAAUGCGCAGAUAUCAGGAGGAACACCGGUGGCGAAGGCGGUUCUCUGGGCAUGUUCUGACGCUGAGGAGCGAAAGUGUGGGGAGCGAACAGG
rnacentral:rRNA from 1 species